GGGGUGAUGGUCAGUUUGGUAGCUAACGUCUGAUCUAGGUGUUGUGGACUGGCGCCGCUGCCGAAGAUGAUGGAGAAAGUUUGAGCCACCGAAGGGAAGGAGGGGGGAUCGAGUAGCCCUAGGUCUGGGAGUCGUAAAAUUCUCGAAACCAAGUUUUUUUUUUUUGCCAUUUUUUUUUUGUAAAACAAAUUUUUUCCUCCGAGCCUACCUCUUCUCUCAUUAUGGGUUCGAGUAUCUUGAUGCAUUUUGGACUCAGGAUGCUUUGGAACGAAAAAGAGGUGAAAAUCACAAAACGACGAAAUGUUGACAAAAAUGGUAUUUUGGAGCAAGUAGCAUGACCACGCUACCAUAGAGCGCGACUGUGCUAGGUGGCCAAAAAGAGGAAUUCAUCAGAUUUUUAAAUAAAGGGAAUUUUGGUCAAUUCACAUGGGAAAACAUAGGGUUGUGUAUUUUAAUGCGAUUUUCAAUAUAAAACCCUAGUUUUUUAGAGUUAGAACAUAGAGAAGAUGGCUAGAGACUUUUUGUAAUGACCCAAAUUUCCUAAUAAGGCUUAGGGCCUUGAUUAGGGGGCCAGGAUGACAAAUUUUGGAAUUAUAUAAUUAUGUGAUAUUUAUGUGUAUCAUUAUGUGAAUAAUAUUAUAAUAUGACGUGAUAUGCA